UCUCCGUUGGUGAACCAGCGGAGGGGUCAUUACCGAGUUAUCAACUCCCAAACCCCUGUGAACAUACCCAACGUUGCUUCGGCGGGACCGCCCCGGCGCCCUCGGCGUCCCGGAACCAGGCGCCCGCCGGAGGACCCAAACUCUUGUUUAAACCAUAGUGGCAUAUUCUGAGUCUCACAAGAAAAAUGAAUCAAAACUUUCAACAACGGAUCUCUUGGCUCUG
rnacentral:misc_RNA from 1 species